AUUGCACCCGACCAUCGGAUCAUCGAAGAGGUGUAUGAUGCUGCCGUGGCCUCACUGUCACUUACGCCCGUCCAGGUUUUAACCCGAUCCGACAUGUAGGCACACAGAUGGAUGCAUCUCAAACAUGCCGGCCACAUGCUUUUAUGCACCCGAUCAGGCAUCAUCAUCAGGCGGCGCACACUCGCAUCAUUUCUGGAUGAAUGCUUUACUGCGGGUGUACAAACAUUGAAGUAAAAGCCGAGGAGGAAACCAAAGACAACAAGCUCUCCGCAUUACCAGUACCUCUCCGGUAUCGUAGACCCAAACCCGUCCUUCUGAGUCUCCCACAGCCACCUCCUUGCCUCCAGACGACCAGCGCACUCUGUUCAAGGCCGACGCACCUUCGAUAGUGGCACUGGCGGUUUCGACAGGCCGGAUGAGUGUAUGAUAAAGGAAACAGCUCAAGCAAAAGGUCUAAUUUGCAUCGAUAUGACAAUGACACCGGAACAACAAAAGAGCGAGGGAGGCUGACAAAGUGUGUGACGAACGAAUUCUGAGAAUUCUGAAGCCGAAUGACUUUUCAGGUCUCACCUGAGGGGACCAGUCAAGACAGGUGACAACACGAUGUUUGGACCAGUGUUCAUCAUAGAAAAGUCUACUGAAGGACAAACUGGAGCCACCAGCUAGAUCUCUAGAAACACACAACAGAGAUGACGUGAAUCUUACCAGCUUCAAGACAACUAAGAAUUACGGGCUCGACCGCUGUAGUCGAAGAAGAUGUCACUGCUUUCGGCAAGAGCUCUCUCCAUCACCCGGAUGCUGCAGUCGAAGAAACUCUGGAACUCAGUAGAGUGAAGUAUCUGCUGCCUUUCCUCCUCCGUCAGCUCCCGCAGCGUGGGGAAAGGACCUGCUGGUAUGGAAAGUUCCAUGCAUCCAUCUGCUGGAAAUGCUGCCUGAUGUGCCUUCUCAGACGGAAGGUUUGGAGAAGACAUAACGUCCAGCAAUACACCGCUCUGUUUCCUAUCUGAAUUUUGACAAGAGCGCUGCUUCACUGGACACAAAGGAGAACUCUGGGCUGAGGGACGACCUUGUAAAUGUUUGGCAUAAGACCGACACCGUCAGACCUUCCUUACGGCUCACGUCUUGGAUUUGUAAACUUCACCAAGCAGCACAUGCAAUCCAUUCUUUUCCUGGAUGAGCAUGUAAACACACCGACAGAUCCCCACUGGAAAUAAGGAAUCCAACUUCACUGCGAUCCACUUGGUCGGGUCUGGAACAGAUUAACAGCACUAAACAAGAGAUUACUGGGAGAAGCCACCCCUCGUCACUCUUAUUUUUUACAAACAGGCUUUGAUUGUCGAAGUGCUGUCCGUUAUUUUGACUUUUGGUCUGAAUCUGUCACCCUUAUUAUGAAUGGUUGUGAAUUUCAUGCUAUAAGUAAUAUUGGUUCCACCCCUCGUCACUCCCCGGCCACCCCACAUUUCAGGUACCAAUUUAUUACCACUCCUAUGUGAGUAAUUGUCUCACCUUGG